UACGAAGGGGGCUAGCGUUGCUCGGAAUCACUGGGCGUAAAGGGUGCGUAGGCGGGUCUUUUAAGGUCAGGGGUGAAAUCCUGGAGCUCAACUCCAGAACUGCCUUUGAUACUGGGCAUCUUGAAGUCCGGAAGAGGUAAGUGGAACUGCGAGUGUAGAGGUGAAAUUCGUAGAUAUCGCAAGAACACCAGUGGCGAAGGCGGCUUACUGGUCCGGUACUGACGCUGAGGUGCGAAAGCGUGGGGAGCGAACAGG
rnacentral:rRNA from 1 species